AGAGCAAAAGUUGUACGAUUUCGCGUCUCCUCUCCCUCCUUCCAAAAGUCUCUGUGGCUUCUUUUCGAUUUCUAGGGUUUCAAGAACGCGCUACAUUUAUUUAUGGGACUUGUGAGGAGAAGAUAUUAUUGUGGUACAAACACGUGCUCCGUGUGGAGGUAAUUAGUAAAACUUUUAGGGUUUUUUUUACGUUAUAAUAUCA
rnacentral:lncRNA from 1 species